rnacentral:rRNA from 1 species
CCUACGGGGGGCUGCAGUGAGGAAUAUUGGUCAAUGGACGAGAGUCUGAACCAGCCAAGUCGCGUGAAGGAUGACUGCCCUAUGGGUUGUAAACUUCUUUUAUAUGGGAAUAAAAUGUUCAACGUGUGGGCUUUUGUAUGUACCAUAUGAAUAAGGAUCGGCUAACUCCGUGCCAGCAGCCGCGGUAAUACGGAGGAGCCGAGCGUUAUCCGGAUUUAUUGGGUUUAAAGGGAGCGUAGGUGGAUUGUUAAGUCAGGUGUGAAAGUUUGGGGCUCAACCGUAAAAUUGCAGUUGAUACUGGCAGUCUUGAGUGGAGUAGAGGUGGGCGGAAUUCGUGGUGUAGCGGUGAAAUGCUUAGAUAUCACGAAGAACUCCGAUUGCGAAGGCAGCUCACUGGACUACAACUGACGCUGAGGCUCGAAAGUGUGGGUAUCAAACAGGAUUAGAUACCCGAGUAGUC